GCAUUAGCUAGUUGGUAAGGUAACGGCUUACCAAGGCAACGAUGCAUAGCCGACCUGAGAGGGUGAUCGGCCACACUGGAACUGAGACACGGUCCAGACUCCUACGGGAGGCAGCAGUAGGGAAUCUUCCGCAAUGGGCGAAAGCCUGACGGAGCAACGCCGCGUGAGUGAUGAAGGUCUUCGGAUCGUAAAACUCUGUUAUUAGGGAAGAACAUAUGUGUAAGUAACUGUGCACAUCUUGA
rnacentral:rRNA from 1 species